ACUGGGAAUGGUGGUGCAUACCUGUAAUCCCAGAGGCUCAGGAGGCUGAGGCAGGAGGCUCAGGAGUUCAGAGACAGCCUCAGCAAAAGCAAGGCACUAAGCAACUCAGUGAGACCCUGUCUCUA
rnacentral:sRNA from 1 species